rnacentral:rRNA from 1 species
UCGGGAAUUUUGGGCAAUGGGGGAAACCCUGACCCAGCAACGCCGCGUGAAGGAUGAAGUAUUUCGGUAUGUAAACUUCGAAAGAAUAGGAAGAAUAAAUGACGGUACUAUUUUAUAAGGUCCGGCUAACUACGUGCCAGCAGCCGCGGUAAUACGUAGGGACCAAGCGUUGUUCGGAUUUACUGGGCGUAAAGGGCGCGUAGGCGGCAUGACAAGUCACUUGUGAAAUCUCUGGGCUUAACCCAGAACGGCCAAGUGAUACUGUCGCGCUAGAGUGCAGAAGGGGCAAUCGGAAUUCUUGGUGUAGCGGUGAAAUGCGUAGAUAUCAAGAGGAACACCUGAGGUGAAGACGGGUUGCUGGGCUGACACUGACGCUGAGGCGCGAAAGCCAGGGGAGCAAACGGGAUUAGAUACCCCUGUAGUCCCUGAGCGGGCUGGCAAGGCGCAU